AAACAACUAAAGAAGAAUUAAGGACAAUAAUAAUACGAAGAAAAGCAGCUUGUAUGCCUCAGAAGCAUGCAGCAAACAUAUACCAUAUGUAAAUAAAGCCCAAAAAAAUGACUUGCAUAUGGCUUAGAAGGUGAGGGACGAUGGGGGAAGUACAUAUAAUUUAUCAAUGAUAUAGCAGCCUGUUUUCCUGAUUGAUUAUAAUGCUUAUAAUUAACUUAGCUACCAAAGGUUUUUCCCUAACUUGACAUGCACUUCAGCAUUCAAAAUACAGAGUAGAUAUGCAUCACAAAAAAAAAAAAAGAG
rnacentral:misc_RNA from 1 species